rnacentral:rRNA from 1 species
CCUACGGGUGGCAGCAGUGGGGAAUAUUGGGCAAUGGGCGCAAGCCUGACCCAGCAACGCCGCGUGAAGGAAGAAGGCCUUCGGGUUGUAAACUUCUUUUCUCAGGGACGAAGAAAGUGACGGUACCUGAGGACUAAGUUACGGUUAACUACGUGCCAGCAGCCGCGGUAAUCCGCAGGCGGCAAGCGUUAUCCGGAUGUACGGGGUGUAAAGGGAGUGUAGGUGGGGAGGCAAGUCAGAUGUGAAAGCCACGGGCUCAAGGUGUGGCCUGCAUAUGAAACUGUUUUUCUUGAGUACAGGUGAGGCAGGCGGAAUUCGUGGUGUAGCGGUGAAAUGCGUAGAUAUUAGGAAGAACACCAGUUGCGAAGGCAGUCUGUUAAACAGCAACUGACGCUGAUGCGCGAAAGCGUGGGGAGCAAACAGGAUUAGAUACCCUUGUAGUC